rnacentral:lncRNA from 1 species
AUUCUUAUUCAUGACCUUAUUGAAACUCCCUCCCAUGUUUGUAUAUGCGCACAAAUAUGCAUACAUGUGUGUUUGCAGGUGUACGUGUGUGCACCUGUGAAUGCGUGUGUGUUUAUGCAUGUGCACAUAUGUGAAUGUGUGUGUGCUAUGUGCACAUGUAUGUUGUGCCGUAUGUGUUCACCCACAUAUGUGUGUGCAUGCACUGCGCGCCUGUGUGUGUGUGUGCGCAUGAGCACAUGUGUGUGUGACUUGGCUCGUGUGCUUUUGGAGUCUGGUGAAGUCCCAAGACCCGCAGGGUGAGUCAGCAGGCGUCACACCCAGGCAGAGCAGAUGGGCUAAAAAAAAAAAAAAAAAAAAAAAAAAGGCCCCAGUUUGGGAGCGCCUGCCUUUUGUCCCGCCUCCUCCUGAGAGCACCGGGCCGCCCCCGGGGGGAGGGCCCUGCUCGGCCCCGCCUACUGGUCAGUGCUGAUCUCACACAAGACACCCUCACGGACCUUCCCACCCCCUGCAUCACAGCAGCCCUCGGAGCUCCCUGCGGCCCAGCCGGUUGGCGUGCACUCAGCCUUCAGCCUCCCCCAGAGCCCUCCCCCGGUGCCCGGCGCCUCUGCGGCCUGCCUUCCCCCGCGGUUGGCCCUCAGAGCCGUGAGAGCACACGGGCGUGCAGCCGCAGCAGCGCCACACCGCGGUCCUGCCCACCCCCACCCCCACAAGCACCCUCCUCAUUUUCUGCACAUGGGGAGAUCGCCGAGCUGGAUUCUCCCUCCAGCUCUGGCCCUCUCUUGACGUGGCUGCAGACCCUUCCACCCACGGCUGCCUCGGCCUUUUUUUGUGCGCGUGUAGUAUUCCACCCUGUGGCAGGUGCACCCCGCUCCUCACGGAUGAGACCCGGGGACCUGUUUCUGACCCUUUCCUGCCGCAGACAAUGCCACGAGCGCCACAUCUUCCCACACAGGGAAGCGGGUGCAUCCCGGCCUGCGACGCUGCCACCCCCGCGAGCCCGAGCGUUUCUCGCUUUGCGAGGCACUGCUGG